ACUUAAGCAUAUCAAUAAGCGGAGGAAAAGAAACCAACAGGGAUUGCCCUAGUAACGGCGAGUGAAGCGGCAACAGCUCAAAUUUGAAAUCUGGCUCUUUCAGAGUCCGAGUUGUAAUUUGCAGAGGGCGCUUUGGCUUUGGCAGCGGUCCAAGUUCCUUGGAACAGGACGUCACAGAGGGUGAGAAUCCCGUACGUGGUCGCUAGCUAUUGCCGUGUAAAGCCCCUUCGACGAGUCGAGUUGUUUGGGAAUGCAGCUCUAAAUGGGAGGUAAAUUUCUUCUAAAGCUAAAUAUUGGCCAGAGACCGAUAGCGCACAAGUAGAGUGAUCGAAAGAUGAAAAGCACUUUGGAAAGAGAGUCAAACAGCACGUGAAAUUGUUGAAAGGGAAGCGCUUGCAGCCAGACUUGCUUGCAGUUGCUCAUCCGGGCUUUUGCCCGGUGCACUCUUCUGCAGGCAGGCCAGCAUCAGUUUGGGCGGUGGGAUAAAGGUCUCUGUCACGUACCUCUCUUCGGGGAGGCCUUAUAGGGGAGGCGACAUACCACCAGCCUGGACUGAGGUCCGCGCAUCUGCUAGGAUGCUGGCGUAAUGGCUGUAAGCGGCCCGUCUUGAAACACGGACCAAGGAGUCUAACAUCUAUGCGAGUGUUUGGGUGUCAAGCCCGAGCGCGUAAUGAAAGUGAACGGAGGUGGGAACCCGCAAGGGCGCACCAUCGACCGAUCCUGAAGUUUACGGAAGGAUUUGAGUAAGAGCAUGGCUGUUGGGACCCGAAAGAUGGUGAACUAUGCUUGAAUAGGGUGAAGCCAGAGGAAACUCUGGUGGAGGCUCGCAGCGGUUCUGACGUGCAAAUCGAUCGUCAAAUUUGGGCAUAGGGGCGAAAGACUAAUCGAA
rnacentral:rRNA from 1 species